rnacentral:rRNA from 1 species
UACGUAGGGGGGCUAGCGUUGUCCGGAAUCAUUGGGCGUAAAGCGCGCGUAGGCGGCCCGGUAAGUCCGCUGUAAAAGUCAGGGGCUCAACCCUUGAACGCCGGUGGAUACUGCCGGGCUAGAGUCCGGAAGAGGCGAGUGGAAUUCCUGGUGUAGCGGUGGAAUGCGCAGAUAUCAGGAGGAACACCAAUAGCGAAGGCAGCUCGCUGGGACGGUA